GGGGAAUCUUCCGCAAUGGACGAAAGUCUGACGGAGCAACGCCGCGUGAGUGAUGACGGCCUUCGGGUUGUAAAGCUCUGUUAAUCGGGACGAAUGGUUCUUGUGCGAAUAGUGCGAGGAUUUGACGGUACCGGAAUAGAAAGCCACGGCUAACUACGUGCCAGCAGCCGCGGUAAUACGUAGGUGGCAAGCGUUGUCCGGAAUUAUUGGGCGUAAAGCGCGCGCAGGCGGAUUGGUCAGUCUGUCUUAAAAGUUCGGGGCUUAACCCCGUGAUGGGAUGGAAACUGCCAAUCUAGAGUAUCGGAGAGGAAAGUGGAAUUCCUAGUGUAGCGGUGAAAUGCGUAGAUAUUAGGAAGAACACCAGUGGCGAAGGCGACUUUCUGGACGAAAACUGACGCUGAGGCGCGAAAGCCAGGGGAGCGAACGGGAUUAGAUACCCCGGUAGUCCUGGCCGUAAACGAUGGGUACUAGGUGUAGGAGGUAUCGACCCCUUCUGUGCCGGAGUUAACGCAAUAAGUACCCCGCCUGGGGAGUACGGCCGCAAGGUUG
rnacentral:rRNA from 1 species